AACGCACCUUGCGCUCCUUGGUAUUCCGAGGAGCAUGCCUGUUUGAGUGUCAUUAAUAUAUCAACCUCUUCAGCUUUUUGCAUGUUGAGUUGUUGGAUGUGGGGGUAUUUUUGCUGGACUCUAGAAUCUGAGGUCAGCUCCCCUAAAAUGUAUCAGCGAAACAAUUUGUUUACCGCUCAUUGGUGUGAUAACUAUCUACGCUAUUGACGGUGAAAGGCACGUUUAGCUCCUAACAGUCCAUUAGCUUGGACAACCUCUUAUUAAUGUGACCUCAAAUCAGGUAGGACUACCCGCUGAACUUAA
rnacentral:misc_RNA from 1 species